rnacentral:misc_RNA from 1 species
GAAAUUUUUAAAAUUUGUAACUAUUACCUUUACUUAUAACCUUUUAAAUCUGAAAAUUUCCAACAUAUAUAUAUAUAUUUAACUCUUUAAUCAUGCUAGUUUUUUGUUGUCCUUGUUAAAGUUCUAGUUCUAGUUCCACCCUUGAAAAUUACAUUCCAUUGUUUUCCAGGUCUAUGAUGUCCUGUUUCAGUUCAGGCAACUGGAUUUCUAGGAAUAAAAUUGAUGAGCACCGAGAGUCCAGUGAAGUAAAGGUAAGCUGUUAGAGGGUAACAAUGAUACUGUCAGUCAAUAGAAAAAACAUAUAAAACAGGGUUUAAAGCCAUGAGAAAAAUUCCACUUCAAGAAAUUUGCAAUACUGUUUGGAAAUAUAUUUAUUCAAAUGAUAUAAACAUUGAGUUUGGAAAUAUAUUUAGCUACACAGGAAUGGUUAUCCAUUAACCUGACCAUUGACAAAUUAAUAGUGCAUUACUCAGAGGAAUGGAGAAACUUGGAUAACAGUUUGUAUAAAAAUGGUAUUAGGCCUCUUAUCCCAAACAAGAAGCAAGAUAUUUAGUUAGCUAGUAGAAUUCAUUGAUCAAAUUUAAAUUUUACCAGAUUAGUGUUGUAUGAUUUGCAAUAAAAUUUUCUCAUCCAUCCAAUGAUGAGUAUCCUCUCAACAUACUUCUCUACAAAAAUUAUCUUAUUGUCUUAUCUACAUUGUCAUGCUACCUAACUUUGUGAUGCAACAAGAAUAGAACAUUUAAAUAAGAUGGUUAAAAACACAGAAAGAGUAAGAAAAAGAAAGAGAGGCCAAUAGGACUAAGUACCAAGCAUCAGAGUAACCUUUCACUUGUUCCUGUUUAUACUCCUAUUAUAUAAGACAAGAGAAGAUACCAGAAUUCAGAGCACUAUAUUCUGUCGCAUCUAUCACCAGUUCACCAUGCCUACUCUUUUAAAGAGUCAUAAUUAAUGUGCUCCCCAGUGGUUCCUUGCAGUGAUAUCUAUCAUCAUUUACACAUGUGGUUCCUUUUAAUUGAUAUCUUUUGCCAACACAGCAACUGUAUUCUUUAUAGUUGCUAAUCCUUUUGAAGGCUAAAAGAAACCAAAGAACAUUAUUGUAGUUUUGAAAUAAAAAUAGGUGACAUCUUGAAUCAUUGUUACCGCAUUGCAAGGUUCAAGUUUGGCUUCAAAAGCCCAAUGGCUAACCAAAAUGAGAAGUCAGGAUACAUGAUACAAUGAAAUCUCAAGUUCUUUGAAAAUCCAAAAAAUGACAGGCAACCACCAAUGUAAAUCUUAUAACAUAAUUUGUCAGAACCUCACAGAAAGAAUUUUUUUUUAAUGGUCAUAAACUAAGAAAUGAUUAAUCAAACUGAUAACAUAAAAC